GUGCUUGCUUCGGCAGCACCUACGCUAAAAUUCGAACAAUACAGAGAAGAUUAGCAUGUCCCCUGCACAAGGAUGACAAGGAAAUUUGUGAAGUGUUCCAUAUUUUU
ensembl:snRNA U6 U6 spliceosomal RNA